AAUGUCUUCUACUCGUUAUAUUGGUGAAUGUUGUGCAUUCAGACAAAAAACUAUGAACUAUUUCAAUCAAGGGACUACUGAAGAACCAGAACCUGGUCCAGAGGUGAUCUGCAGCCAGAUGUGGAUGGAGGGAGAGACUUUGGGACGUCUGCAGGGUCGGCUGUGACACCAAACAAGAUAUAAAUAUAAGAGGCAUAAUCUGAAGGCCUGAUCCAUGCAGGUUGUCAGUCUGGUGUCAUAAAGGCUCCUGGUUCUGCAGGUCUGAGUCUGAACCUCCACCCAGCAGAAACCCAGCUGGUGGAGACAGGACCAGCUGGUUCAUGGUGGAUCUGAGCAGGACCAGGGCCUCAUCGCAUCCCAGGAGGAAGAAUUCUGAUGUGGCUUCAUCAGCGACUCCAGCAGGAUGGAGAAAUGCCUGAAGACCAGGAGAGCAAAGCUCCAGGUUCCUCCACCUGCUCCUGUCUGGAAGUGGAUCACUGAGAUGAGGUUCAUCAGCUCAUCC